UUUUUUUUAUUUUCAUUAAAAAAUUAUUUUCUUCUGAAACCAAUAAUAAUUUUAAAUUUGUAAUCUAAAUCUUACAUUGUACAUUUUUAUGGCCACAUAAUACCAAAAUUAUGAACAAAGUAUCUACCUAUUUAGUUUUUUAUUUUAAUCAAAGUUUAAGAAUUGGCUUAUUAAUGGCAUAGGUAAUAUUUAUUUAGUUAUAUCAUUGAUUAUAUAAUUGUCUUUGGCGGGUUACGCCAAAACACGAGGUUUAAUGAUAAAGUAAAAAGAAACCUUUUUUUUUACGACAUAAAAACAUAAUACAAGUGCUCGCCAGCUGACGGCUUGUGGCGCGAGAACAGGCGAGCACGCAAUAUUUAAAACAACAUUAGUGGUAAAAAUCAAUUAUACAUAAUAAUUAAUUGGAGUCGGAAAACAAUGUUUCGCGAACGGCGUCGGUGCGAAGAGAACGAGCGGAACGGUCGAGCGGAGCUGUGGCCGAUGACUAAUGUACGCCGACGGUGAGGGGAGUGUCCGACGUCCGCCGCGAGUGACGCGCAGCGGGAAGAAGAAGUGUGGCGCGAAACCCGCUAAAACCGCGAAAAAACGCGAAACCCGAAAAGACGUUAUUUUCAAAACUGCUCUUCUGAAAUUGACAUAAAUCAGUUGAAAAAAAAAAUAUUCGUAAAGUAUUCAAGUACUUUUUGAAAUAUUCAAAUAUAUACAC